AACGAACGCUGGCGGCAUGCCUAACACAUGCAAGUCGAACGAAGCCUUCGGGCUUAGUGGCGCACGGGGUACGUAACACGUGGGAAUCUGCCCUUUGGUUCGGAAUAACAGUUAGAAAUGACUGCUAAUACCGGAUAAUGACGUAAGUCCAAAGAUUUAUCGCCGAAGGAUGAGCCCGCGUAGGAUUAGGUAGUUGGUGGGGUAAUGGCCCACCAAGCCGACGAUCCUUAGCUGGUCUGAGAGGAUGAUCAGCCACACUGGGACUGAGACACGGCCCAGACUCCUACGGGAGGCAGCAGUGGGAAUAUUGGACAAUGGGCGAAAGCCUGAUCCAGCAAUGCCGCGUGAGUGAUGAAGGCCUUAGGGUUGUAAAGGCUCUUUUACCAGGGAUGAUAAUGACAGUACCUGGAGAAUAAGCUCCGGCUAACUCCGUGCCAGCAGCCGCGGUAAU
rnacentral:rRNA from 1 species